rnacentral:misc_RNA from 1 species
GGUAAAAUGCUGAGCUGUGGAUUUCAUAGGUGCCCUGAAAGGUGCCACCGAGGCCCUUGCGUUGAAACUUGUAGGCUGGUUGUUACCAAAUCAUGUAGGUGCGGGAGUUAUAAGAAACAGGUUCCUUGCCAUCAACACAUGACAUGUGAAAGGAAGUGUCAAAAAUUGCGGGACUGUGGAAAACAUGCCUGUAAACGCCGCUGCUGUGACGGGGAUUGCCCACCUUGUUCUGAGAUGUGUGAAAGGAAGCUCCGUUGUAGGAACCACAAGUGUCCAGCUCCAUGCCACAGAGGCUCUUGUGCACCCUGCCCGGUAAUGGUCACAAUUUCAUGUUUGUGCGGAGAGACACAUUUUGAGGUUCCUUGUGGUGCAGAAGCUGAGCAAAAACCUCCAAAAUGUCGUAAAUCAUGUUGUGUAGGUCGCUUAUGCAGGCACGCUUCUAAUUGCAAGCCACAUAGGUGUCACUAUGGAGCUUGCCCACCGUGUCGUUUGCUUUGUGAUGAAGAAUAUCCUUGUGGGCACAAGUGUGAAUUGAG